rnacentral:rRNA from 1 species
ACUGCAAGUCGAGCGGACAGAAGGGAGCUUGCUCCCGGAUGUUAGCGGCGGACGGGUGAGUAACACGUGGGUAACCUGCCUGUAAGACUGGGAUAACUCCGGGAAACCGGAGCUAAUACCGGAUAGUUCCUUGAACCGCAUGGUUCAAGGAUGAAAGACGGUUUCGGCUGUCACUUACAGAUGGACCCGCGGCGCAUUAGCUAGUUGGUGGGGUAAUGGCUCACCAAGGCGACGAUGCGUAGCCGACCUGAGAGGGUGAUCGGCCACACUGGGACUGAGACACGGCCCAGACUCCUACGGGAGGCAGCAGUAGGGAAUCUUCCGCAAUGGACGAAAGUCUGACGGAGCAACGCCGCGUGAGUGAUGAAGGUUUUCGGAUCGUAAAGCUCUGUUGUUAGGGAAGAACAAGUGCGAGAGUAACUGCUCGCACCUUGACGGUACCUAACCAGAAAGCCACGGCUAACUACGUGCCAGCAGCCGCGGUAAUACGUAGGUGGCAAGCGUUGUCCGGAAUUAUUGGGCGUAAAGGGCUCGCAGGCGGUUUCUUAAGUCUGAUGUGAAAGCCCCCGGCUCAACCGGGGAGGGUCAUUGGAAACUGGGAAACUUGAGUGCAGAAGAGGAGAGUGGAAUUCCACGUGUAGCGGUGAAAUGCGUAGAGAUGUGGAGGAACACCAGUGGCGAAGGCGACUCUCUGGUCUGUAACUGACGCUGAGGAGCGAAAGCGUGGGGAGCGAACAGGAUUAGAUACCCUGGUAGUCCACGCCGUAAACGAUGAGUGCUAAGUGUUAGGGGGGUUCCGCCCCUUAGUGCUGCAGCUAACGCAUUAAGCACUCCGCCUGGGGAGUAAGGUCGCAAGACUGAAACUCAAUGGAGUUGACGGGGGCGCGCGCAACCGGUGGAGCAUGANGGUGAAUUCUAAUCAUCGUNCAAAAGCU